UACGGAGGGUGCGAGCGUUGUCCGGAAUCACUGGGCGUAAAGGGCGCGUAGGCGGCUCGGUAAGUAGGGGGUGAAAUCUUGCGGCUUAACCGCAAGGCUGCCUUCUAAACUGCCAGGCUCGAGCACAGUAGAGGCAGGUGGAAUUCCCGGUGUAGCGGUGGAAUGCGUAGAGAUCGGGAAGAACAUCGGUGGCGAAGGCGGCCUGCUGGGCUGUUGCUGACGCUGAGGCGCGACAGCGUGGGGAGCAAACGGG
rnacentral:rRNA from 1 species